rnacentral:rRNA from 1 species
AGAGUUUGAUCAUGGCUCGGAUGAACGCUGGCGGUAUGCUUAACACAUGCAAGUCGAACGGAGGUAGAAUACCUUAGUGGCGGACGGGUGAGUAACGCGUGAGAAUCUGCCUUCAGAUGGGGAUAACAGAGGGAAACUUCUGCUAAGACCCAAUGUGCCGAGAGGGAAACAAAAUUUGCCUGAAGAUGAGCUCGCGUCGGAUUAGCUAGUUGGUAGGUAACGGCUCACCAAGGCGACGAUCCGUAGCUGGUCUGAGAGGAUGACAGCCACACUGGGACUGAGACACGGCCCAGACUCCUACGGGAGGCAGCAUGGGGAAUUUUCCGCAAUGGGCGAAAGCCUGACGGAGCAAUACCGCGUGGGGAGGAAGGCCUUUGGGUUGUAAACCUCUUUUCUCAAGGAAGAAGCGAGACGGUACUUGAGGAAUCAGCAUCGGCUAACUCCGUGCCAGCAGCCGCGUAAGACGGAGGAUGCAAGCGUUAUCCGGAAUGAUUGGGCGUAAAGCGUCGCAGGCGGCUCGUCAAGUCUGUUGUUAAAGAGUGGGGCUUAACCCCAUCGAGCGAUGGAAACUGAGGAGCUAGAGGGUGGUAGGGGUAGAGGGAAUUCCAGUGUAGCGGUGAAAUGCGUAGAUAUUGGGAAGAACACCAGUGGCGAAGCGCUCUACUGGGCCAUGCCUGACACUGAGGGACGAAAGCUAGGGGAGCAAAGGGAUUAGAUACCCCUGUAGUCCUAGCCGUAAACGAUGGCGACUAGCGUUGACCGUAUCGACCCGGACAGUGCCGUAGCUAACGCGUUAAGUUGCCGCCUGGGGAGUACGCUCGCAAGAGUGAAACUCAAAUGAAUUGACGGGG